rnacentral:misc_RNA from 1 species
UCGAACCCUGCAAAGCAGAAUGACCCGUGAACAUGUAAAUACAACUGGGUGAUGUGGAGAUGGCCCUUGGUCCUGAUCCUUGACACCUCCUGACGUGUGUACGUGGUGUCUCGUUUGAGCCGCCAUGGAUGUUUCGUUGGACUAUAACAAACCCCGGCACGGAAUGUGCCAAGGAAAAUAAAAAAAGUGAAGGACUUGUCCUGAUAAUGCCCCGUUUGCGGUGUGCUUACAGGUCUUGGCCUCCAUGUAAACAUAAACGACUCUCGGCAACGGAUAUCUGGCUCACGCAUCGAUGAAGAACGUAGCAAAAUGCGAUACUUGGUGUGAAUUGCAGAAUCCCGUGAACCAUCGAGUUUUUGAACGCAAGUUGCGCCCGAAGCCAUCUGGUUGAGGGCACGCCUGCCUGGGCGUCAUGCAUCGCGUCGCCCCCUCCAUACUUCUGUAUUGGUGUUUUGGGGCGGAGAUUGGCCUCUCGUGCUUAUGGUGUGGUUGGCCUAAAUAGGAGUCCCCUUCGGUGGAUAAACGGCUAGUGGUGGUUGUAUAGACCCUCGUCUUGUGUCGUUUGUCCUUAGCCUUUAGGGAAACCCUCAUCAAAGACCCGAUAGUAUCGUCUUCAGACGAUGCUUCGAC